GACGUAGGGCGCGAGCGUUGUCCGGAUUUAUUGGGCGUAAAGAGCUCGUAGGCGGCUUGUCGCGUCGGCUGUGAAAACCCGCGGCUCAACUGUGGGCGGGCAGCUGAUACGGGCAGGCUGGAGUUCGGUAGGGGAGACUGGGAUUCCUGGUGUAGCGGUGAAAUGCGCAGAUAUCAGGAGGAACACCGGUGGCGAAGGCGGGUCUCUGGGCCGAUACUGACGCUGAGACGCGAAAGCGUGGGGAGCGAACAGG
rnacentral:rRNA from 1 species